rnacentral:lncRNA from 1 species
ACACUGGACGCUUUCUGAAAAGUUUUCCAAACUUUAAAAGAAUCUCCUGGAGCCAUGUGUUUUCAAAAGAACCAGAAAGAUUCCUCCUCUCUUCUGAAAGGCUUGCAGAAAGAAGACUGGUUGCUUUGUGGAUAAGAUUUUGCAUUUGGGGGCAGGUGUCCCUUAAGGAAUUCCCAGGGGCGGGGGUUAAUAUCUUAAAUGCACAGAAUGGAUGAAGGUAAAAAUAUUCAAAGACAUCAGGCAGUGAUCACUAGGCAUUCCCCCUGAAUUUCAAUUUGAAGAAGUAAAAGUCAAUUAAAACUGCGUGUGUCCGUGAGUAUAAUGUUAGGCGCUUAUUCUUUGUAUACAACUUCUGUUUUGUCCCAAAGCUUUCUUUGUCUUUGUAUUUAUCAAUACAAAUCGUCAAUUGUCUACUUAAGAGUCUGGAAACGCGCAUCUGUGUAUCUAGGCAGAUGUACACUCCUUGUGAAGAAUUGGAGGAGAAUGAGAUGCCUGGAGCCUGGAAAGCCUGAAGAACGCUUUGGUUUAUCACAAUGGAGAUUCCUGUCCUGUCAUUUUACUGACAGACAAGCCACUACAGGCUCUUUCCCAGAAGUUGACCGAAGAAACUCAAGCACUGCUGUUUCUUCCCUCCCAAGUCCGGUGUGCCGCCUGGUAAUGGAUUGCUUUUCUCUGAGCUUCCACCCUGGAGAGACCCCCCAGGUCUAGUCUGUGAACCCAGCU